rnacentral:misc_RNA from 1 species
UCCGGUUUGUCACCGGCAGUCUGGCGUGAGUCCCCAACUUAAUGCUGGCAACACGCCACGGGGGUUGCGCUCGUUGCGGGACUUAACCCAACACCUCACGGCACGAGCUGACGACAGCCAUGCAGCACCUGUGCUAGCUCCCCGAAGGGUCCCUCACCUUUCGGAUCGGUACCACUAGCAUGUCAAGCCUUGGUAAGGUUCUUCGCGUUGCGACGAAUUAAACCACAUGCUCCACCGCUUGUGCGGGCCCCCGUCAAUUCCCUUGAGUUUCAGUCUUGCGACCGUACUCCCCAGGCGGGAUGCUUAAAGCGUUAGCGGCGCCACCGAAGAGCAAGCUCCCCGACGGCUAGCAUCCAUCGUUUACGGCGUGGACUAC